UCAAUGAUGACUAAAGAGAACAUCAGACUAGUUGCUUAUGCAAGUUACACCUGCAAAAAUGGGACUGAGUCCAGUAAGGAAGGAUGUAACAUUUUCCUGAAUAUGCAAAAAAUGAGUGGGGUAUAGUCUGUAUUCCUGUAUGCUCUGGGCAGCCUUGUGGAGUCAAAAUUGGAGUCAACAUUCCCAAAGCUCGUGGGCUGCUCUCUAUGACAAAAAUAUGAGUAAGGGUAUUGGAUAUUGGAGAGGCAAGUGUUUCAUCAGUCAAGUGCAACCAUCUACCUCCCUUGCCUGGUAAGCUCAAAACUCUCCAUUUCCAAGCUUAAUAUCAGCUUUGUCUAGAUAUACAAGAUUUGUCUUUAUAGCUUUGUAUAUAUUUGUACAUAUGUCUUUAUAUCUUUAUAUAUUUGUUUGGAUCUACUUAAAGUGAUUGUUUUCUGUAGUCAUGUACUGAUGCUCACACUAGUAUCUGCUUCUUGGUGACCCGCUUAUCCUCGGCUUAUCUUAAUUUUCUAGACUUCUCUGCAAUAGGAUUCUGAUUACCUACUAUCUGGAUCUCCAGAAGGUCUUGAGGACAGAGUUUAAAAUGCAGGAUUCAGUCUCUGAUUUAAAGAGACAAGCUUUUUUACAAUCCACACUUUUCUAGGAAUGGUUAGAAGUUGAGAAUGCAUUCCAAGUGACAGAGGGCUGAGAGAGACAUGCUGGGGCCAGCUCCUGCUCUCAUCAAAGUCAACUAUUAAAUUUGCAGGAACUUUGUAAACACAUUGUUAAACACGGUGAUUAAAAAUUAAAAUUACAAUUUAAAUAUAUUUACAAUUAAAUAAUGUUUAAAGUUAAGUGUUAGCCGCUCAGUCGUGCCCGACUCUGCGAUCCUAUGGACUGUAGCCCACCAGGCUCCUCUGUCCAUGGAAUUCUCCAGGUGAGAAUACUGGAGGGGGCUGCCAUUCCUUUCUCCAGGGGAUCUUCUUGACCCAGGGAUCAAACCCAGGUCUCCUGCACUGCAGGCAGGUUCUUUACUGUCUGAGCCACCAGAGAAGCCAAUGAACACUCUAAACUCAUGGUUUCCUAAUUGUUUUACUAUAUUUUGCUGUCGUAUAGGCUCUUGAAGCUAUUUCUAACUAUUGUGCAU
rnacentral:lncRNA from 1 species